ACAGCCGGGUCCGGAGUUGACAAGAACACAAAGAUUUCAUUUCUCGCUGCUUCCUCUGGUUAACGAGUAAUCUGGAUGUAGUGGUGCUCUCCAAAGCUAAUGUUUGUUGAUGCAGAACUGGCCUGUCCCUAUGUCAGUAUGUUGAUGAGUUUAAAUUGGUUGAUUUCAUCGCCUUUUAAAUCAGAUUAGAUCAGGCUUCAACUUGAUGCUGGAAGCUAUUAGAAAAAGAUAAUCCAAGAUCAAAAGCCUUCAACACUACUGGGCCUUUGUUGCAGAAGGUGGAAGUGACAGAACUACUUGAAAUUACAUAAGAAAUCAUGGGCUUUAAAUUGAUUUCCAUUAUGAGGGAUGCAUGGACAGAGAAGUCCUAGAUCUAUACCAUCCGUUCGGCGCACAUUUUCUUCAAGACUUCUUGCUAGAGGUUCAUGGCGGAGCAUAUAUUUCCAAAUUUGUGAGCAAGUGCAUUUGAGAUAACUGGGGGAAGAACAUUGUGCAAGAAAUCUCUAACGGCAGAUCAAACCACGUGACUAACAGCAAAUCUCCUCAAACAGAGUGAAGAUGCAAGAACGGAAUAAAUGGGAAGUAUAAUUAAAAAGGAAAGAAUCAAUAUGGGCCUCAUUUGUGGUAUCAGCUCCAGUAGCUCCUGCUACAACUCAAGUCAAACAUUAACUAUAAGUUUGAUGCAAAAGUUAAUCCAAAAAAGAAAUAUCAUUAGGCUAGGAAUCACUACUGUCCUUUUCAGUUUAUAAAGCCUUGCUGAGAAAAAGUAAUGGAAGGUUGUGUUUACCUCACAAGACUCAGAAGAUUAGAAUUUUAUUCAUUGGCAAUAGGCAACAGAUCUGCGAGUGGUAUCUCACUUGUUUUGAAGAUGUUUGGACCAUUGGUGGAAAGUUUAAGGUGAUUACAUAAUGAAAUAUCUGCAAUUGGUGUGUAUAU